GGAGCUCUCUGAGUGGUCUGGAACUCUCUGUGUGGUCUGGAACUCUCUGAGUGGUCUGGGAACUCUCUGUGGUCUGGAACUCUCUGUGGUCUGGAACUCUCUGAGUGGUCUGGGAGCUCUCUGAGUGGUCUGGGAGCUCUCUGAGUGGUCUGGGAGCUCUCUGAGUGGUAUGGGAGCUCUCUGAGUGGUCUGGAACUCUCUGAGUGGUCUGGGAACUCUCUGAGUGGUCUGGAACUCUCUGAGUGGUCUGGAACUCUCUGAGUGGUCUGGAACUCUCUGUGGUCUGGAACUCUCUGAGUGGUCUGGGAACUCUCUGAGUGGUCUGGGAACUCUCUGAGUGGUCUGGGAACUCUCUGAGUGGUCUGGAACUCUCUGUGGUCUGGAACUCUCUGUGUGGUCUGGAACUCUCUGUGGUCUGGAACUCUCUGUGGUCUGGAACUCUCUGAGUGGUCUGGGAACUCUCUGAGUGGUCUGGGAACUCUCUGAGUGGUCUGGGAACUCUCUGUGGUCUGGGAGCUCUCUGAGUGGUCUGGGAACUCUCUGAGUGGUCUGGGAGCUCUCUGAGUGGUCUGGGAGCUCUCUGAGUGGUCUGGGAGCUCUCUGAGUGGUCUGGGAGCUCUCUGAGUGGUCUGGGAGCUCUCUGAGUGGUCUGGAACUCUCUGACUGGAACUCUCUGAGUGGUCUGGAACUCUCUGAGUGGUCUGGAACUCUCUGUGGUCUGGAACUCUCUGAGUGGUCUGGGAACUCUCUGUGGUCUGGGAGCUCUCUGAGUGGUCUGGGAACUCUCUGAGUGGUCUGGGAGCUCUCUGAGUGGUCUGGGAACUCUCUGAGUGGUCUGGGAACUCUCUGAGUGCGGGCACAUGUCUAGUGGUUAAGCGUGUUGGGCCAGUAACCGAAAAGUCACUGGUUCGAAUUCCAGUGAAAGAUCUGUUGAUGUGCCCUUUAGCAAGGCACUUAACCCUGAUUGCUCCUGUAAGGUGCUCUGGAUAAGAGCGUCAGCUAAAUGACUCAAAUGUUAAAUGUAAAUGUGUCUCUUCAGCACAGCCUCCCUGUUGAGCCAAGUGGGGGCUAUAUGUCUCUUCAGCACAGCCUCCCUGUGGAGUCAAGUGGAGGCUAUGUGUCUCUUCAGCACAGCCUCCCUGUGGAGCCAAGUGGAGGCUAUAUGUCUCUUCAGCACAGCCUCCCUGUGGAGCCAAGUGGAGACUAUGUGUCUCUUCAGCACAGCCUCCCUGUGGAGCCAAGUGGAGGCUAUGUGUCUCUUCAGCACAGCCUCCCUGUGGAGCCAAGUGGAGGCUAUAUGUCUCUUCAGCACAGCCUCCCUGUGGAGCCAAGUGGAGACUAUGUGUCUCUUCAGCACAGCCUCCCUGUGGAGCCAAGUGGAGGCUAUAUGUCUCUUCAGCACAGCCUCCCUGUGGAGCCAAGUGGAGGCUAUGUGUCUCUUCAGCACAGGCUCCCUGUGGAGCCAAGUGGAGGCUAUAUGUCUCUUCAGCACAGCCUCCCUGUGGAGCCAAGUGGAGGCUAUGUGGCUCUUCAGCACAGCCUCCCUGUGGAGCCAAGUGGAGGCUAAUUGCUAGUAGAUGAGGUUGAUGGGCACAUGUAAGAUGAGGGCCAUGAGGACAGCUCUCAAUAGCAGUGAAAGUGAGGAAUUCACCUACACAUGGAACCAGGAGAAGCACAUUCUUGACAAAUGCACUCAAACUGCCAAAGAGUGGCUGGUCUGAGAAGAAAUGACUUGCUGUCUUCCUGAAGCCCUGUGUGUGCUGUCCUGUAGCUGAGAGCAAAUAAAAGCAAAGUGCAGCACUAUCCAUUGGAGAUUAUGACAGCAGCAUAUACUGUAGGCCUAUAUCAUAUUACCCUGACCAUACACUCAGCCAUUCUCUCUCAGAACUGAUCAAUAUUGUGAUCUAAAGCCAACGUUGACUCUCCCGAGUGGCGCAGCGGUCUAAUGCACUGAAUCACAUUGCUUGAGGCGUCACUACAGACCCGAGUUCGAUGCCAGGCUGG
rnacentral:lncRNA from 1 species